AGUCCAGGGGGAAGGAGUUCCGGGAAUGGAAGGGAAAUGAAACUGUCUGAGAAGCAGGCCAGCUGAGAUUCCCUCAGGGAAACAAAUCAUUCCGAUCUGCCUGAAUCUCCAAAGCGUUUUAGAUAAGACACCGCAACAGAAGCAGGCUGGGGCUCCAUUCAGCAGCGUGUGCGUGUGUGCCCGCCGCAGGGCGCUGGUUGGGUGUUGGGGGAGGACAGAGUGGUCUGGAACCGAACCGGCAGUGUUUCUGAGUUAUGCCCUGCAACAUUAGGCUGAGUCUAAGGAUAUCAAGUCAACAAAACAGUCAGGGAGCAGUCAGAUAAUGAAAUUAAGCCUGCAGUUGAAAGUGUCGGAGACGGUUGUUAGAAAGAGGCCGAAGUUGAGCGCGGUCUUGGAGGGCCUUGUUUUGGGAGGACCAGCAUUUUCUGGUAAGUACCAGUAGCAGCUGGGGGUCUGAGCCCUUGGCUGCACCGGUUGGGAGGCAAGGCACCCUUGGCAUCAUGACGCAGACUCGGGAGCUCCCCUACCAGAGACGAAAUGCUGCUUCUGUGAUUUACUCGCUGUGGAUUAUGGGCAUGGGACUUGACUUCUCUGUGUCUCAAUUUCCUUUUAUACAAAAUGAAGAUAAUAACAAGACCCAUCUCACAGAGUCGUUGCAAAGCUAAGAUCAGUUAUCCCAUGUGAAAUGCUUAGAACAGUCCUAACGUACAGAACUAAGAACUAAGAACUGCGCGGCUCUUGGUGUAAACAUCAUUCAUUUUCUUUGGGCCGAUUUAGUGCCCUUUUGUUACCUGCCUCCUCCAGCUGCUGCUGUCAGGUAGACAUAGUCUUAUUUCAACUUUAUAAUUACCUGUAUGAGGAAAGCAGAGCAAGUGCCAUUAUCAUGGUCCUUUGGCAGGUGAGAAACUGGUUGCUUUUUUUCUUUGACUGGUAUUCAAGGUCCCGGUUCUUACUGAGAUUUUCGCUUACAUUUCUCCUGUUCACUUUUAGCCUCUUCUAGGAGGCAAAAGAAUGAUUUCUUUUUAUAUACCACAAAUAUUUAUGGUACAUCAAAACCUUUUCGGGUGCUAUGAACAUAAGGGCAAAUAAAACCCCUGGAGUCCUUGCUCCCAUGGGGCUUAUAGCCUCCUUUACCUCCUCCCUCUUGUUGGAAUCUAAGCUGUAUCCGAUCUACCUUUGUGUCCACCAAAGUAUUUAGCACUAAGUGUUGCUUGUAGUAAGUGUUUAAAUGCUUGUUGGUAUAAUAGGUUUAACACGUAGCUGACUCCUUACCAAUGUCAGACUGUGUUGGUUGUUUUACAGUCAUUAUCUUGCGAAUCCUAGAAUAACAAUCCCUUUUUAUACUGGGAGAACCACUAUUAGAGACUUGCCUAAGUUCAUUCACAUAGUAAGUCAGCACAAGGACUUGUCCUAGGCUGGCUUAGCUCCAAAUUUCAUGCUUUUUGAGUUUGGGAAGGAAAUUGAGGGGAGUGGGCUUUGUUAAAUUAUCUUGAUAGAUGUGCAAGAUGAAUCUCAGAGCGGUUAAGCCACCGAAAAUUGCCUAUGUCCUCACUACUCUCUGGCCUUCUUCAUUUGACCCUUCUUGUACUUUUCCAAAGGAUGAAAUUUCCUACUUGGACUAAGGCAUGGCCUGCAAGAUCUCUCUGUUUCUCGGGCAUCCAUGUCUGAUGGUAAAUUGAUGUGUUCUGCAUAUCCUGUUGGCAAGGAAGCAGAGAUCCACGUGCUGAGCUGUCCCCACAACCCUGGGAAAUGGAAAGAGCAUUUAUUCCACUUGCCACCCUGCUGGAAGUGUAGGGAUCUAUUUUUAGACCUAUGCUGAUCAAGGAAAUAAUUAAGCAGUAACUUGCUUAGUGUCUAUUACAGGCCUAUGCUCUGUGAAGACAAUACGGAUUUUAAAAUCUUUAUUUGUUUGAUUUAUUUUGGGUCUAAUUCAUAGGCAAUCAACUAUGCAUGACUUUUUUUUUUUUUUUUUUGUCUU